CUGGACUCCAUUGAAUUUACAAAAAUUGCAAGUCUUAUGUCUACUAGUUGGAAAAACUUGGAUUGAAGUCUGUGUUUGAUUCCAGAACUUUCUUUUAGGUUAAUCAAUGCUGGAAACAUUCUAAUCAUAUAAAUAAUUAGAAUUUCUUUUACAUAUAUUGAUAAGUCUCUUGAUUUAUUUAAAAUAUUUGAAAGAAAAAUUCUGCAAAACCUAUAAAAAUUGGUACCUUUUCUAUUUGAGAAUAAAUAUUUGUUGCCAUUUGCCACUUUGAAGUCAACUGGGAAACUAGAAAUCUUAGUUUAAAAAGAAUCAAUGGCAAAAUGUCUGGAUUUCUCCAUCCCCAGGGAAAAAAGCUUCCACACAGCUGUGACGAACUGCUGGUGCUCGCUUCCGCAACACAUAUACCUGUGACAAACUGCUGGAGAAUACUAAGGCAGUAUUUUCAUUGAGAGAGAGAAAUCCUACAGGGUGGAGCAACGGGGAACACUGACAGCUUAUUUAAAGAGGCACCAGGAAAUGUGCCUCUUUCACCAAAGAGGAAACGUGUUCUGAGCCAUUCAUCCAGCACGGACUCCAGGUAAAUUGGGAGAUUAACACCUCUGCAGACAACAGGCUUCAUCCAUGCAUAGCAUUUGUGUUUGCACAGAGUAUAUGGGUGGGUAUGAGUGAGGGAAUAAGUAGGUCAGUUCUCCGUCCCAUUUCUCUCCUUCCUGACUUGGUGGUAAAAA
rnacentral:lncRNA from 1 species